rnacentral:rRNA from 1 species
AACGAACGCUGGCGGCAGGCUUAACACAUGCAAGUCGAGCGCCCCGCAAGGGGAGCGGCAGACGGGUGAGUAACACGUGGGAACGUACCUUUUGCUACGGAAUAGCUCCGGGAAACGGGAAUUAAUACCGUAUGUGCCCUUCGGGGGAAAGAUUUAUCGGCAAAAGAUCGGCCCGCGUCUGAUUAGCUAGUUGGUGGGGUAAUGGCCUACCAAGGCGACGAUCAGUAGCUGGUCUGAGAGGAUGAUCAGCCACACUGGGACUGAGACACGGCCCAGACUCCUACGGGAGGCAGCAGUGGGGAAUAUUGGACAAUGGGCGCAAGCCUGAUCCAGCCAUGCCGCGUGAGUGAUGAAGGCCUUAGGGUUGUAAAGCUCUUUCGCUAGGGAAGAUAAUGACGGUACCUAGAGAAGAAGCCCCGGCUAACUUCGUGCCAGCCGCCGCCGUAA